GAUGAACGCUGGCGGCGUGCCUAAUACAUGCAAGUCGAGCGAACAGACGAGGAGCUUGCUCCUCUGACGUUAGCGGCGGACGGGUGAGUAACACGUGGAUAACCUACCUAUAAGACUGGGAUAACUUCGGGAAACCGGAGCUGAUACCGGAUAAUAUAUUGAACCGCAUGGUUCAAUAGUGAAAGACGGUUUUGCUGUCACUUAUAGAUGGAUCCGCGCCGCAUUAGCUAGUUGGUAAGGUAACGGCUUACCAAGGCAACGAUGCGUAGCCGACCUGAGAGGGUGAUCGGCCACACUGGAACUGAGACACGGUCCAGACUCCUACGGGAGGCAGCAGUAGGGAAUCUUCCGCAAUGGGCGAAAGCCUGACGGAGCGACGCCGCGUGAGUGAUGAAGGUCUUCGGAUCGUAAAACUCUGUUAUUAGGGAAGAACAAAUGUGUAAGUAACUAUGCACGUCUUGACGGUACCUAAUCAGAAAGCCACGGCUAACUACGUG
rnacentral:rRNA from 1 species